rnacentral:rRNA from 1 species
CCUACGGGGGGCUGCAGUAGGGAAUAUUGGGCAAUGGAGGCAACUCUGACCCAGCCAUGCCGCGUGCAGGAUGAAGGCGUUAUGCGUUGUAAACUGCUUUUAUAUAGGAAGAAAUAGACCUUGCGAGGUAAGUUGACGGUACUAUAUGAAUAAGCACCGGCUAACUCCGUGCCAGCAGCCGCGGUAAUACGGAGGGUGCAAGCGUUGUCCGGAUUUAUUGGGUUUAAAGGGUGCGUAGGCGGUUUAUUAAGUCAGUGGUGAAAGACGGUCGCUCAACGAUUGCAGUGCCAUUGAUACUGGUAGACUUGAGUGGGAUUGAGGUAGCUGGAAUGGAUAGUGUAGCGGUGAAAUGCAUAGAUAUUAUCCAGAACACCAAUUGCGUAGGCAAGUUACUAAGUCUCAACUGACGCUGAGGCACGAAAGUGUGGGUAUCAAACAGGAUUAGAUACCCGAGUAGUC